GCGUCGGUGUUGCAACGGUUAGGAUACUCUCCCGGAAAGAUUGAGAUCUGGGUUCGAGUCCCUGCUGACGCA